UCCUACGGGAGGCAGCAGUGGGGAUCCUACGGCAGGCAGCAGUGGCGAAUAUUAGACAAUCGGCGAGAGCCUGAUCCACCCAUGCUGCGUGAGUGAUGAAGGCCCUAGGGUUGUAAAGCUAUCUUUUGCGGGAAGAUAAUGACGGUACCUCAAGAAUAAGCCCCGGCUAACUUCGUGCCAGCAGCCGCGGUAAUACGAAGGGGGCUAGCGUUGCUCGGAAUCACUGGGCGUAAAGGGUGCGUAGGCGGGUUUCUAAGUCAGAGGUGAAAGCCUGGAGCUCAACUCCAGAACUGCCUUUGAUACUGGAAGUCUUGAGUUCGGGAGAGGUGAGUGGAACUGCGAGUGUAGAGGUGAAAUUCGUAGAUAUUGGCAGGAACACCAUUGUCGAAGGCGGCUCAAUGACCCGAUACUGACGCUGACGCAUGAACGCAUGCUGAGCAUACAAGAUUAAAUACCCUGGUAGAACCUCGAUUAGAUACCCUGGUAGA
rnacentral:rRNA from 1 species